GAGCAGUACGCUCCAGGCUUCAAGGAGAGCGUCGUCGGGCGGGACAUCCUGACCCCUCCAGACCUGGAGAGAGUGUUCGGCCUGACAGGCGGGAACAUUUUCCAUGGUGCCAUAUCAUUGGACCAGCUGUUCAUGUGUCGACCCACAAGUCAGCUAAGUAACUACAGGGGCGCCAUACAGGGACUGUAUCUAGGAGGAAGUGGAGCCCACCCAGGUGGUGGAGUGUUAGGGUCCCCCGGGAGACUGGCUGCAGAGACACUGUUAUCAGACUUCAAGAAACUCUGACCAUCCAAAUAGGAACAAUCUCAAGCAUGUGACUAUUCCAUAACCUACCAUCUUAUUUUGGUAUAAAGGUCAUGUCUUUCCUUAUUAAGCAGAAAAAAAAUGAUGCACACAAUGUUUAUUUAUGUCAUGCAUGUAAUCAGAGAAAUUCCUCAGAUUGUGCCAAAACUUUAUAUUAUUGUAAAAUAUUUCGGCUGUGUGAACCCAGCCUUUAGGACAGAAAGCACCCAAGGAUACCUUUAACAGUAAUUUUUGCUGCUAUGAUUUAAUUUUGCUUUGUUUGCGAUCUCUUUUCUCAAAUUAUUGAAUAUGCAAAUAUUUUAUGAAGUCCUGUAUUAUUUUCUAUUAGAAACUUAUGCAAUCGCUAAAAAUGACUGACGCAUAUUAAAAUUGCUACAUAUUUUUACCAUUUUCACAAAUUUUGUUGACACAGGAAAAAACUGGAUAUAAGGUAAUUAUUUUGCCAAUCUGUUUUUCCUUGUUGGCUACAGUAUCCAGUGCAUGGCUAGAUAAUGCUGACAAUAAUUCUUUGUGGUUGUAUAAUUUUGUACAUCAGAUAAUUUAAUUUGAAUUUUUGUUGUACAUUAAACACGUGACAAUCAU
rnacentral:misc_RNA from 1 species